rnacentral:tRNA from 1 species
GCGGGCGUGAUGGAAUGGUAGACAUACCGGACUUAAAAUCCGGAGCGAAAGCGUGCGGGUUCGAGUCCCGCCGCCCGUA